rnacentral:rRNA from 1 species
AGUGAACGCUGGCGGUAGGCCUAACACAUGCAAGUCGAACGGCAGCACAGUAAGAGCUUGCUCUUACGGGUGGCGAGUGUCGGACGGGUGAGGAAUACAUCGGAAUCUACUUUUUCGUGGGGGAUAACGUAGGGAAACUUACGCUAAUACCGCAUACGACCUACGGGUGAAAGCAGGGGAUCUUCGGACCUUGCGCGAUUGAAUGAGCCGACGUCGGAUUAGCUAGUUGGCGGGGUAAAGGCCCACCAAGGCGACGAUCCGUAGCUGGUCUGAGAGGAUGAUCAGCCACACUGGAACUGAGACACGGUCCAGACUCCUACGGGAGGCAGCAGUAGGGAAUAUUGGACAAUGGGCGCAAGCCUGAUCCAGCCAUACCGCGUGGGUGAAGAAGGCCUUCGGGUUGUAAAGCCCUUUUGUUGGGAAAGAAAAGCAGCAGGUUAAUACCCCGCUGUUCUGACGGUACCCAAAGAACAAGCACCGGCUAACUUCGUG